GAUGAACGCUAGCUACAGGCUUAACACAUGCAAGUCGCGGGGCAGCAUGGGGGUUGCUUGCAAUCCCCGAUGGCGACCGGCGCACGGGUGAGUAACGCGUAUCCAACCUGCCCUUCACCACGGGAUAACCCGGCGAAAGUCGGACUAAUACCGUAUGUUGUCCAUUGACGGCAUCCGAUUUGGACGAAAGGUUUGGCGGUGAAGGAUGGGGAUGCGUCCGAUUAGCUGGACGGCGGGGUGACGGCCCACCGGGGCGACGAUCGGUAGGGGUUCUGAGAGGAAGGUCCCCCACACUGGAACUGAGACACGGUCCAGACUCCUACGGGAGGCAGCAGUGAGGAAUAUUGGUCAAUGGGCGUAAGCCUGAACCAGCCAAGUAGCGUGCAGGAUGACGGCCCUAUGGGUCGUAAACUGCUUUUAUGCGGGGAUAAAGUGGCCCACGUGUGGGUUUUUGCAGGUACCGCAUGAAUAAGGACCGGCUAAUUCCGUG
rnacentral:rRNA from 1 species